rnacentral:rRNA from 1 species
GAUCCUGGCUCAGAUUGAACGCUGGCGGCAGGCCUAACACAUGCAAGUCGAACGGUAACAGGAAGCAGCUUGCUGCUUUUGCUGACGAGUGGCGGACGGGUGAGUAAUGUCUGGGGAAACUGCCUUGAUGGAGGGGGAUAACUACUGGAAACGGUAGCUAAUACCGCAUAACGUCGCAAGACCAAAGAGGGGGACCUUAGGGCCUCUUGCCAUCGGAUGUGCCCAGAUGGGAUUAGCUAGUAGGG